rnacentral:lncRNA from 1 species
GUGGGGAAGGCUGACUUCUGUCUUAAAGGCUUACUCUGGAUCAUAAUGUUGAGUGAAGGCUGUCAGGAGACAAAGAGGAUAAAAUGAGAAGAUGGCAAUCUGCAAACCAAGAAGCAGACCCUCAUCAGACACUGGCACCUUGAUUUUGGACUUCCCAGCCUCCAGAACUAAACAGGGUUUCACCAUGUUGCCCAGGCUGGUCUCCAACUCCUGAGCUCAGGCAGUCUGCCCACCUCGGCCUCCCAAAGUGCUGGGAUUACAGCACUUUACAAUCCUACAGGACUGGAUCAUAGAGCUGUGAACAUGCACUAUUCCUCAAAACAAGAGAAGAAAGAACCCAAAAAUGAUUUGAAGAUCAUCAGGCCACCACUCCCACCAUAGGACCAGAGUGCCUAACUUGGGGAACAGGGCUGCCUCCGCCUCAGUUUCAAAGAGCAGGACCAAUGCCCAAUGGAGCCAUGGGUGCAGUGCCACCUGUAGCAGUAGAGGCACAGCACUAUUCUGCAGAGCCACUGAGAAUGCAACAGCGAGACAGCUGUCUACAAACCAGGAAGAGUGCCCUCGCCAGAAAAUGGAUUUGCUGGCACUUUGAUAUUGGAAUUCCCAGCCCCCAGGACUGUGAGAAAUAAAUUUCUCUCAUUUAA